rnacentral:tRNA from 1 species
UCCCUGGUGGUCCAGUGGCUAAGACUCUGCACUCCCAAUGCAGGGGGCCAGAUUCAGUCCCUGGCCAUGGAA